rnacentral:tRNA from 1 species
UAAAAGCCCUUUAAACAC